rnacentral:lncRNA from 1 species
UCAUUUGCACACCAGAUGAAGCUGGCUCGCACAGGGACCACGUUUGUGAUAAAUACAGUCUUUAAAAGUUAGCCUCUAUCCAGCCUUAAAAAUGAAGGAAAUCUAACCAUUUGCUACAACAUGGAUGAACCAGGAGGACAUUAUCCUAAGUGAAUUAAGCCAGACACAGAAGGCCAAAUACUGUAUAAUUCCACUUAUAUGAAGUAUCCAGUCAAACUCAUGGAAACAGAGAGCAGAAGGGUUUCUGGGGGCUGGGAGAAAGGGGAAAUUGUGAGGUGCUACUCAAUAGGUAUAAACCUUCAGUUAUAUAAGACAAAUGAAUUCUAGAGAUCUGCUGUACAACACUGUGCCUAUAUUGUAUUGUAUUGUAUACUCAAAAAUCUGUUAAGAGAGCAAAUCUCACAUUAAAUGUGAGACCUACAGGCACAAUGGCAUAUGCCUGUAGUCCCUGCUACUCAGGAGGUUGAGGCAAGAGUAUAGCUUGAGCCCAGGUGUUUGAGUCCAGUGUGGGCAAUAUAGCAAGACCCUGUCUCUAAAAAAAAAAAAAAAAAGAAAGAAAGAUUAAAAAAUGUUUUUACCACAGUAAAAUACACUUUAAAAAAAAAAAAACUCCAUUCCCCGUGGUUUGCUUGGUUUGGUUUGAUUUGGUCUGGUCUUACUACUGCUGCCUCUCCGUUUGACUGGCAAAGUGUGACUGGCACUGCUACUGUGGAAAUAACCUCAACUAACUCCCCCUGAGUUUUACACAGCCUCUUUAUUGCCUCCACAGCUCAAAACUAUACAUUCUCUAAUUCUAAGACUUAUUUUUAUUAUUUUUAAAUACUAAUUUGUUCAUACAAUGGAUAUCCAGGUGGUACUGUUCUUAAGAGGAUUUUAAAGAAGGUACACCCAGUAUGUUUUAUAUUUAACCUAUGGCUGCUUCUCAAGAGUGUUUGUAAAUUGAGAACUGUCUGUAUUGCAUGUGUGAUGUCAUUAAAUAUUUGAUUUCAGUAUGUUUAAACAGAAAAAAAAAUAGAACUCACAAAGGAUCAACUGGAAUGAGUAUUCACUUUAAAUCAUUUGUAAAAGGUCAAUAAUGGGGUAAGAAUAGCCCCUACCUCAGAGUUGAUGAGAGAAAUGAAUAUGCACACAUUUACAAAGACCUUAAAGUAGUGCGUACCCUAAGCCUUAUAUGAAGAUUAUUAUUCUUUCUAAUUACAAUAAUUCUAAUUGCAGAAAUCUAUGCGAAAACAAUACACAGUUCUGGCCAAAAGAAGUUAAAACAAAUGUGAAAAAUAAGCGACAUCCAGAAACUUCAGCAGCUCCCUUCUGUCCUAUGCCUCAAGGUACCAGAGAGGGAAAAAGACCCCCAGGAGAGGCUGUGAGGAAACCUGAACUGCAAACCCACCACGAUGUCUUCCUGGGAAAGGCAAGUUGGUAAAGAAAGAUGUGAACUCUAUUUCAGGGUAGUAUGUUUUUUUCAUUUGCUUCCAAGACUUUGAUGGAAUGACUUGAGAGGAAAAGUUCACAAUUACUAGAAAGAACCUAAAAGGACAUGAGAGAUGAAACCGUUGCAGUAUUUUUGAAAUAAAUGUUUUCCUGCAAGAGCAGAGUCAUGGGCGGGGUGUCUGUGUAAUAUCUACUCAACACAGCCGAAGGGUAAGAGGAAAUCCUGCACUCUCCCAAGCAGGACAUCCCUGCACCGCCCGGCGCGUUCGCGAAAACUCCGCGGGGCCUCGAGGCGUCCCGGGAUUAGCCCUGACGCUGUAGGGCUCUCUAGGUUUUCCACGACGCAGGGGAGCGUAACUGGAGCGCACCCGACAGCCUCUCAGCUUGCCCAGGCUCGACUGGAUGGGGCUUUGCUGGACCCCCGACCCGACCCCCACACACCCGGGCGGCGGGGCCCAGGUACCUGCCAACGCCUCCGCACCUCAUCGUCCCCUCUGCUUCCCCUCCUCCCUCUCCCCGAACCCUUCCCCCCUCCUCCCCGCCUCCUCCCCGCCUCCUCUUCGCCUCCUCCUCCACCUUCUCCUCCCCCCGACCCCUGCUCCCACUCUUGGCUCCAAAACAUGGAUGAACCUCAAGAACAUUAUGCUAAGUGGAAAAAAGUCAGGCACAGAAAGACAAAUCACAUAAUCUUAUUUGUAUGUGGAACCGGAAACACUCAAACUCAUAGAAGUAAAGAAUAGAAUGAUGGUUACCAAAGACUGAGGGAGUGGAGGGGAGGAGGUUUGGGGAAAUGUUGGUCAAAAGAUAACAAAAUUUCAGUUAGAUAGGAGGAAUGAGUUCAAGAGCUCUAUUGUACAACAUGGUGACUAUAGUUAAUAACAAUGUAUUGUAUUUUGAAAAUUGCUAAGAAAAUAGGUUUUAACUGUUCUCACCACAAAAAAUCAGUAUGUGAGGUAAUGCCUAUGUUAUUUGGCUCGAUUUAACCAUUCCACAGUGUAUACAUAUUUCAAAACAUCGUGUUGUACAUGAUAGAUACAAUUUUUAUUAGCCAAUUUUAAACAUUUAAUUAUUCUCCAGUCUUCACUAUUUGAGGAAAAAAAUUAAGUUAAAUACAUAAGAAGCUGGGCGC